AACGUAGGGGGCGAGCGUUAUCCGGAAUUACUGGGCGUAAAGCGUGCGUAGACGGUUAUUUAAGUCAGGUGUGAAAUCCCCGGGCUUAACCUGGGAAUGGCAUUUGGGACUGCAAGGCUUGAGUGCGGCAGAGGAGACUGGAAUUCCUGGUGUAGCAGUGAAAUGCGUAGAUAUCAGGAGGAACACCGAUGGCGAAGGCAGGUCUCUGGGCUGACACUGACGCUCAUGCACGAAAGCGUGGGGAGCAAACAGG
rnacentral:rRNA from 1 species